ACAGUUUGAAUGAAAGAGCGCUCAUAGAUGAACAAGUAGGAUGGGCUACCAAGACCUCCACUACUUGAAAAGUUUUGCGUACAACACUCGAAAAGGUAUUCAGACGCAGCUCUUCUCUCCGGAGACAAGAAGGUCGUCGCCGGCUGACACCAACCAGGUAUUUACACCCUCACUUGAUACUGUUUAAAAGUAGCGAAAAAGCAUACAUAGCAGCG
ensembl:ncRNA C07A12.10 ncRNA